AGCUUGCUGCUCGGAUUAGUGGCGCACGGGUGAGUAAUGCAUAGAUAAUGUGCCCCUUAGUUCGGGAUAGCCACUGGAAACGGUGAUUAAUACCGGAUACUCCUUCUUGUCUCAAGGCAAGUCGGGAAAGUUUUUCGCUAAGGGAUCAGUCUAUGUCCUAUCAGCUAGUUGGUGAGGUAAUAGCUCACCAAGGCUAUGACAGGUAUCUGGUUUGAGAGGAUGAUCAGACACACUGGAACUGAGACACGGUCCAGACUCCUACGGGAGGCAGCAGUGAGGAAUAUUGCACAAUGGAGGAAACUCUGAUGCAGCAACGCCGCGUGGAGGAUGACGCAUUUCGGUGUGUAAACUCCUUUUAUUAGGGAAGAUAAUGACGGUACCUAAUGAAUAAGCACCGGCUAACUCCGUGCCAGCAGCCGCGGUAAUACGGAGGGUGCAAGCGUUACUCGGAAUCACUGGGCGUAAAGGGUGCGUAGGCUGGCUUUUAAGUCAGAUGUGAAAUCCAAUGGCUUAACCAUUGAACUGCAUUUGAAACUGGGAGCCUAGAGUUCAGAAGGGGCAGAUGGAAUUAGUGGUGUAGGGGUAAAAUCCGUAGAUAUCACUAGGAAUA
rnacentral:rRNA from 1 species